GCUAACUCCGCUCCCCCGCUGAAUGAGCAACAGCUCCCCGUUUCUGUCCAGGGAGGCCUAAGUACAGAGGGCCAGGCUGGGGAGCAGAAGAAUCAGCAGGAAGGGGCGGGUUGGGAGCCUCGGCCGCCCCCGGGGCCCAUCAGCUGAGCCGAGGUCCUAGGACAGGAGGCGGCGCUAGGUGCCAGAUCGCAGCCCAGGGUGUCGCUGGAUGGGCUGGCCCAGCGUUCCUUCAUGUGCUUGCUCUCUCCGGGGGCUCUCUAGAACUCAGGCGGACAAAGCGGACGCUGGCCACAUUGUUCAUUGAGGAGCCUGUAGAGGGGAGAGCAAGUGCUGCUCAAACCUGUUCCUCUCCAGGAAUUGGGGAGAGGUAGCCCGAAGGAUGCCCCACGCGCGGCGGAAGACGGGCUGGUUCCCGAAGCCCUGUAUGGUCCCUCUGAUAACCACCGCGGCGGCUGUUCCUCAUGCUGGAGGCUCAUUAGGGUUCCUGGGGCCAGUCCAAGAAAUUGCCAAGGACAAGACAGGCAGCCUCCGCCUGGAAACUCCGCGGAGCCCGCUCCCCUCAGAGGCCCUUCCUUCAGCGUGAGCGAGGGGGGAGCGCAGCGAGGUCACACGCGGUCCCCUUACUAGAUGGCUGUCAGUGUCUCAGGGUCCCGGCCUCUACUGAGCCCUGGGGUCUGCGAGAGCCCAUCUCACUCCUCUUCCCGAAACAGCCUUUCAAAUCCAGGCAAACCUUGGACUGCGAGUAACUUGUUCUGCGGGUGUUCCACAAGACAGGCCGGCU